CAGUCCGCAUGUUCAUAGUGCCAGCAUUUGUUAUGGAAUAUGUUGAUCAAACCUGGAGAAGCGUCAGCUCAAGAUGUUAUCAUCGGACUUGAGAUAUGACUGCACUAUGCUGUUGCUGUGACUCCAGUUAAUUCUACAAGACAUGCUGUGACAACAGGAGAGAUGGGUCCUCCGUCACAGAUGGUGUGGUCAGUGAAGAUGGUCGCCUGCAGGUUCAAGCUCAUUGCAUCUCCAACCCACAUCCACUGCCACUCUACUUAAGGGAAGUUAAAGACUAGAGCAGGGCGA